ACGUCCGGGUGCAUUCCACAUUUCCACUCACCGGCGGGACACACAGAGUUCCGCCCGUGGAACCACUUACAAGGCCUAUAUAAAUGGUUCAAUAGUCGCUGGCCAUCGACACAAAGUAGGCGAGCUAGGGUUUCUCGAGGAUCGAAAUCCCAGCGAGAGGCAGCGCGAUCCGAUUAUUGGUUUUGAGAUCCAGAAGAUAAAUUGGAGGAGGAGAAGAGAAAGUGGAAGGAAGAACUAAAUCGGUCCACUUCUCUCACAAAGGCAGGAUUCAAAUGAAAAAGUAUGCAGAAUAGGUACCUAAAAGCUUGUGUUCUUUCUGUGGAAGGUGAAAUUUCUAGGGUUAAACUAUUUAUGGAUAGACCCCAGAUCUUAUUGCAGGCACCAUGCAAAACAACUGCAACCUUGAGGCUCGGAGUUCGAUCCCCACUCGCCUUCAUCCUAAAGGUUUGAGGUUACUGCCUGGAAAUUAGAUAUAGAGGAUGAUUGGCCCAAAAUCAUAUGCUCUUGAAGAAGACAAGUGGAUAAAUCUUCUCAAGCCAAGGAAGUGCUAUGAGAAAACAUCAGAAGCAUAGCGCCGAAAUGUUACGUGGUGCAAGGAGCAUAAUGAGUUUCAGUAUGCCGAACCGACCACGGUACCACAUGUGCUGACAUUGUAUCAGGAUGGUAUGGGUAUGGGGUUUAGUACCAAAAUGGCGAACCUUGAGCAGAACAAUAUUAAUCACCUUAAAGACAAUGGAUAAAUCCUCUAAAGCUAAGAAAGUGCUAUAAGAAAACAUGAGAAGCAUGGUGUCAAACUAUUAUGUGGUGCCAGGAGCAUAACGAGUUUCAGUAUGCCAGACCGAUCACAGUACCGCAUGUAUUGACACCGUACCAGGAUGGUAUGGCUAUGGGGUUUGGUACCAUGAUGGUAAAUCUUGAGCAGAACAAUCUUGAUCACCUUAUAAUUCAUUUUUGUAGAGAGAGUCAAAACCAUCAGAAAGGAUAUCUAUGUAAAGUUUCUUGGUGAUGUCACUGUAUAUUUCACUCGUUUUUAUUUAGUUUUGUAAGUGCUGUUUGGAUUUUGAGGGUGUUCAAAGUUGCUAUAUCUUGCAGGAGAUUUCUAGUCAGACAUUUCAAGAAUAACUUUAAUAUGUUUCCAUUAUUAAGUUGUUCACUGAGAGAGAUGCGCCCCUAA